rnacentral:rRNA from 1 species
UACCGUAUAGUGCGUCUGGGUAAGUAAGAACGGUCGCUACGAUGGGUCUAAAAGAAACACCUUCUGGGGAACGGAUUCUUGAGGGUAAAUCACUACGUACCCUUCUCUUCCCAUAACCCACAGCUGCUACGGCUACUCCUGCUCAUGCUGCUUAAACUACUCAACGGUCGGUUCCCUAGUGCGUGGCCACAUUGUCUCUUCGCAUUUUAGUAGUUUUUGGGGUUCAAGUAAGCCCCAGUUGCAUUACUAGGGUCAAGGGGGUACAUGUACCCUUAAUUCGGCUUCGUGUGAGUUAACUAGAGUGAUGUUUUUAGUUUGGGCACCAUAUUACGAGGGAGUACGGGUGGCGGGUGGAGCGUGUGCUAAGGGGAGGGGGAGGGCUGGAAGAAGAAGCACAGGAGCACCCGCGACGGGGGUGGUGGGUGGUUGGAGGUUUAGGGGCUCCUCGGUGGAGGUGGUUGGAGGGCGGGCCUCGGGUGGAGGAGAGGGAGGGAACGUGGCUGAGGUCGGCCUUUGGAGGGGGGUUCAGUGCGCGGAGGGUGGGCGCCGCGGGGAGAAGGAAGAGGACGCGGCGGCAAGCUGCGCUGCUGAUCGAGGGGCGCGGUGGUACGGGAUGUGGUGGCCUAGGUCCGGGAGGUGGUGGCCUAGCCGGUAGAAGGCCUAGGCGUUCGGGCACAGGUAACAGGCUGCUCGGGUCGGUGGGCACGUUGGGGUGGAGGUGGUGGUAGCAAACCUCGGUCGUCCACGGCCCUAGGCUGCUCUAGGCUGCUCGGGAAGGAGGGUAACCAGCGGGAGGGGUACCUGUGGGGAGGGCCACUGCUCAACGUGGAGGCACCGUUGGCCGCCGCUCACCGUGUGGUAGGUAGUGGUGGGGGGACGUCACACGUUUGACGACGUGACGUCAGGUGUGGAGACGGGGGCAGCGACCCUCCAGCUGCCGAGUUCGAGGUGGAAACGCGCUCCUAGAGCGCUGGUAGAUCGGUGGGGGAUUCCGCGAGCAGAACAGUUUUUUGGUCUCACCAGCGCCAAGGACCCCGUACCCGCACGUUACGUCGCGGGUACACGCACGUCAGGCGCCUCUACCCCCACGUCUUGCUGCUGUAAAACCAACGUCAGGGUACCCGCGUGUACACAUCACGACAUCCCCAUGAGUGAACGAACUAGCGGUGCCACUAGAAGAAAAAGGGUCUCCAAGUGAUACAACGGUUUCACGUUAAAAACAACCUUUUUCAGGCUUCACGGGGUAGAGGAAAACCUUUGAUACUAGGAAGAACACUCUACGAGGCCAUACCUUCCGGAAAGGUGCGCACGCCGCUGGCCCCUAUAAAAAGUGGGAAAAGUGGAUCCGGCGGUUGUGGGGGGUGGCAGGCGGGCGCAAAGUGAGUUGAUCAGGUGGGUUAGAGGUAGAGGUCGAGGGGGGAGGGGGUCUAGGUAUCGUCUUGGGAGAGGCCGCGGCGGCACGAGUUAGGCCGGCACACGGGCGAGAAGCCGCAGUUCGGAUGGAGGUAAUGGCAUGGGUUGUGCGCCGCCGGGCGCGGAGCGGCCGAAGCAAACGAGCGGUCGGUGGGAGCUCGUAUAGCUACGUCAUUGGGAGCGGAGAGGACACCAAGCCGGCCCAAACGUAAUUCUUCGGACGAUCAAUGACGAGAGGUAACGCCACUCCGUAUAAGGAGCGUUAGGGAGAAGGUUAAAGCAAGGUACGGCUCAUCGUCGCUGUUGUGAGUACGAAGUCCGCUACAUAGAAGUAGACUAGCCUGUUGGGAUCCAGAAGUCGUCUAACACUCCCUAGUUCAUUAGAACUUGCCGUAUCUCGACGUCGUUAAUGGGAAGGCCAGUACCGUGCCUCCUUGCGAGGUUCCUUCGGGUGUGUGGUCGGAUUUCCACAUAUACUUCCGUUCCGAGUUGUAAUUAGACGGCCCCAAAGCCUUCCGACUGUGUCUUUGUGCCGCUUCCUAUCAGGCUCUCUAGUACCUAGUGAAGUUGCAAGGUCUCGUCACCCCUUACGUCCACCUUGUACGAUGUGACUUCUUCCGAUCCCUACGAACCUCUUUGACCUUCGUGCACGACAUGUUCUUCCGUUGAUUUCUCAAACGACUCUUCUCAAAGUUCGUUAGCCUUGAAGUCUUCUUCUUGUAUGUGUGGGUGGCAUACCCACACCGUCCUAUGAUGCCGUACUUUGACUAUACCCUGGUCCUCCUGUUUCUUCGUCAUCGCCGUCCACCCUUAGGCUGGAAAUCACUUUAGUCCCCGUUUGAGCGGUCUCUGAUGAACGCUCGUGCACGUUUCUCCGCACUACCACCUUGAAUAAUGAAAUUUUUGAGUGCACUGCGGCUUGACAUAGUUCACUACAAUCUCCGAAGGUUCUAGGGACCUUCCAAGAUGUCCUUGAGUCCCGGUACACUGUUAGACAGACAACGAGAUUUUUGUUUUCUCGGGGGUCCGGCACGUUCCCCAUAUCCACAAUUACAGGGCGUGUUCUCCCGAAAGUGUGAGUCGUUUCUUCUCUCCGAGUCGUACUUUUUUCACUCCUCGCUUUACUUCGUCUUACGUAACAUACUCUCCAACUCCUUCCUCUAAAUAAGCCGACAAGCUUUCCUACAACUCCUCAGUUACUACUACGCCUUCUGAGAUUGUGACUGUCUAUCGGUCGUCUACCCUCCCAACCGCCCGUACCUCCUACGACGAAUAACGCGUUGUUGUGACGUGUUCUCAUCGACACGCAGUCGACUGGGGUCGCUGUGUCUCUGACGUCGACGAGCACUACUACGAUAUAGACUAGAUAGACCUUACUUUCUGUCUGACUUCCCGGUCGAGAGCGCCCGACUACGUAGUUGGACACUAGUCGGCCGGGCUGAAACACCGCAUGUCCGGUACAGUAGGAGGCGGGGUUUCGUCGGUCACCGUUCCGGAUGUUGACGACUUCUGCGUGGUGGCCAAGUCUACGGCCGGCGACUUCGUCGCCCCCCUCUGGGUCGACGUCGUGUACGAGUCGUCUGGUUGGACCACCUUACCUGACGAUUCGUCAGACUACGAAGCCUUGGCGGACGAUUCGUCAGAGAUCCAGGUCUUGGUUGACGAGUAGUCAGGGUGUGGCUGUUCAACCGUGGUGGACGCGUCUUUGGGCUGUAUCGAAGUUACGUACCAGUCGUCAGACUACGGAGACGAGGAUGUAGGGUAGUCAAGCAGUGUCGUCGUGGCGGUCGAGUCGUCAGGCCGUAUCUAUUUGGCAGACGAUUCGUCAGGUAGGUUCGAAGUGGCAGACGAGCCGUCAGAUGGAAAUUUCAUCUGCAUGAAGUUCGUGUGAUAAUGCAGGUACCGGUCGGUAAAGAAUAACCGCUUAUGAAACUACUCACGUUGAGGUCAACGCCGCUUAAUGUACUUAUAACGUACCUAGAUUACAGUCGUCCAGUCGUACCAAACGAUCAGGUGAUGUUGUCUCUAGUAAAGGCUAUGUUACGACCAAGGUAGCUACACUCAAAGCUCCUGAAUGUAGAGAAGAAGUUGAAGUUGCACGAGCUAUGGUGAGAACAAUCUAUGGACUAAAAGUUAGUGACCUAUAACCAUAAGUAACAAGGUUUGUUCUUGUAUCAAAUGAUGUUGCUAAGAGAAUCUCUACACGAGCGUAACACCUUUUGAUUUGGUCCCUUGGACAAGUUCUCCCCUGAUGGAGACGUCGUGCUCUAGCAAAGAGGCGAGUAGAAUUUUGGCUCCUGGGGACUUGGUGAGGGCCGACCACUUAACGACUACCAAGCCUCUAAAUAGUCGCUGAAGAAGGACCUAGUGAUGUAGUUAGGGUGACCACUAUUACUUCUAAAGUCGUACGGAAGAGGAUUUUGUAACUCAUUUUCAAUC